rfam:Punica granatum cultivar Dabenzi C5331500, whole genome shotgun sequence.
AUCGCUUCUCGGCCUUUUGGCUAAGAUCAAAGUGUAGUAUCUGUUCUUAUCAGCUUAAUAUCUGGUACACUCCGCAUUGCGGAGUCAGAAUAUUAAACUGAUUUUUGUAAUCCGAUGGAGUGUUGGGUGCUUGCACCACCUCUGUCACGGGUUGUCCGGGCAUUGCAGUGCCGCCCGGUUCGGCCCACCAUUU